GUUUAUUUCAUUAUUAAUUGUUUGUUUAUGUGUUUUACAUUUAAAAUAUAUAUAUACUAUAUACUUUACAUACACAUGUAGCUCCACCUGGGGGUAAGAUCACAUUAGUGAAUUCAGCAUAAUCGAUAAAUGUAACAUAUUUAGCAAAUCUAGCCAUUUUUGUUCAUCCAUGAAAGAGAUAUGAAUUAAAUGAAGAGAACUAAAAAGUGCCACUAAAUAUAUCUACUUUUAAGUCAUUUUAGGAGAAUGCUCUUUCAUUGUUGGACUUGGAUACAGUUUUAGGACCAGUGUCACUUCUACCACUAUAACAUUGAUGCUAAUGAUGUUACUACAGUCAAUUAAUGGUUCUUGUUGAAUCUAAAGGAUUGAUUGGACAUGCUGGGAGAGAGCUUCAUACAUCUUUUAAAGUACAGACAGGAGGACGUGCAUUCACCAGAUAUUACCAGGGCAUCGUUCACUCCCCCUACAAACAGCAGGCAAGAUCCCUAUAGUCUCUCCCAGGUGAAAGACAUACCACUGCCUGUCAAGCCAGCAUUGUCAGAUGUGAAGCAUGUGGAGAAACGGUCAGGAUACAUAGCUCCUAAGCCCAGUCCUGACCUGUACCUCUCUAAGCCCUGUGUAAGUCUGAGUCAAAGUCUAGAGCCCAGCAAUGCCUUGUAUGAGAAAUGCCAGACCAACCCCCUGCAACUGAGCAGCCUCUCCGACAGCAAAGAGUUUCACAUUGACUCUGUGGAUCAGCAAGAAUGGCACACAUCAAAUGUGGAUGACUCAAGCCCCAAACAGCUUAGGUUCAUUCCUCAGCAGGCUGAUGUCCCUGAUGAUGGCUACCUGGUCAUGGACAGCAGCAUCAUGCUGAAUGGAGAGCCGCCAACAAACUCCAUGAUCAAUGGUUACCUGGACAGAAAGCUCCAAGAAGUGUACAGCCAGUACUUACAGGAGAGGCUGGCGUGCCCCGGGUCUUCUCCAGGUUGCAGCCUGCUUCCGCUCCUUCCCCAACCCAGCCUCCCUCAGCUCAGUCAACAGGCAUACCUGGACUCAAGCCUAGACAUCGAGGCCAGACCAAACCAAAUGACCCACAACGUCACCACCAGCCAGGGGCACCACAGCCAGCGGGUCAGCUCGGCCUUCAGUUCUCCAGUGCUACGCAUUUCCAAUGUAGAACAGCCUAAAAGACCUGGGCACUGUGACAGUGUUGUGAAUGUUUAAAGUUAGUAAUGUCUACAGUGACUUUCAAUGACAAAAAAUUGUAUUUAAACUGAAACAAAUAAAAUAGUAUACAAUGUGUAAGUAAAUUACUACAGAACAGUUGUCAGUUUUAUAAUCGUUUCUCCAUAUCAACAUAUUAUUGUCAUUUAUUAUCUUUUUGGUAAUAUUUUUAAGUUCCCUUAAUUGACAUUAUUAACUGCUAACAAACUAUGAACAUAUUAGUAUAUGUAUACAGUAUUAACAAACUAGAGGAAAACAUGGUUAAAACAUCUUGUUGUUAUUAAUGUUUUUCCACUCCCCUUGAUGCAUAGUUAUGCAAUCAAAACUCAGGUGACAUUGUAAAGGUGGCCAAAAGUCACAAUGGAAGAUAUGGAAGUUUUUUAAUUGGUGUGAUAUGAUGAAUUGUGCUUAACUGGAACAGGAACAAGAUCAAUUAACAUAAUAAAAAGGUACAUUUUCACUGAGAGGUUGUAUGAACUAAAUACAAUUUCAACUAAGUAAUAACCUGCCGUAUCUGUUGUUCAUUAUGUGUUCUUUGUGGUUUAUUUAUUUUAUGUUUUUUUUAUUUAUAAAAAGCUGCAUAUGUUAACAAUCCCUAAUAAAAAAAUCAGUCAGUAUUUAACAAGCACCAAUAAGAUAAGAUUCCUUCAUAAGCUAAAAAAGAACUACUGGAAGCACAAAAUGGCUAAAUAAUAUCUAUAAGCAUAAAGUAAUAUGUUUGGCAUUUUAGAAAAUGCAAAGUUUCAUUGUUCAUUUUAAGUAUUAGCACAUAUUUAAGGAGCAGCAAUUAAAU
ensembl:lncRNA